rnacentral:rRNA from 1 species
GUCGAACGAGAAAGCCCGCAAGGGUGAGUAAAGUGGCGUACGGGUGAGUAACACGUGGGUAAUCUACCUUUUGGUGGGGAAUAACCCUGGGAAACCGGGGCUAAUACCGCAUAAGCUCGAAAGAGGAAAGGAGCAAUUCGCCGAAAGAGGAGCCCGCGGCUGAUUAGCUAGUUGGUGAGGUAAGAGCUCACCAAGGCGAUGAUCGGUAGCCGGCCUGAGAGGGCACACGGCCACACUGGCACUGAAACACGGGCCAGACUCCUACGGGAGGCAGCAGUGGGGAAUCUUGCACAAUGGGGGAAACCCUGAUGCAGCGACGCCGCGUGAGUGAUGAAGCCCUUCGGGGUGUAAAGCUCUUUCGGCAGGGACGAUAAUGACGGUACCUGAAGAAGAAGCUGCGGCUAACUACGUGCCAGCAGCCGCGGUAAUACGUAGGCAGCGAGCGUUGUUCGGAGUUACUGGGCGUAAAGAGUGCGUAGGCGGUUUUCUAAGUUUGGUGUGAAAUCUCCCGGCUUAACUGGGAGGGUGCGCCGAAGACUGGAAGGCUAGAGUAUGGGAGAGGUAAGCGGAAUUCCUGGUGUAGCGGUGAAAUGCGUAGAUAUCAGGAGGAACACCUGCGGUGUAGACGGCUUACUGGACCAUAACUGACGCUGAGGCACGAAAGCGUGGGUAGCAAACAGGAUUAGAUACCCUGGUAGUCCACGCCCUAAACGAUGCAUACUUGGUGUGGGUAGUUCAUUCUAUCCGUGCCGGAGCUAACGCGUUAAGUAUGCCGCCUGGGGAGUACGGUCGCAAGGCUG